rnacentral:sRNA from 12 species
AACGAUACUUCUGUCAAGUCCUAAGUAUCCUAUGGAUGGCAGCCUGGCAAGAUGAUCAGGAGAAUACACCUUUGCCUGGAAGCCGAUGGCAUGGGUUGAUUCU